rnacentral:rRNA from 1 species
CCACGCCCUAAACGAUGUCGACUGGUUGUUGGGGGUUUGACACUCUCAGUAACGAAGCUAACGCGUGAAGUCGACCGCCUGGGGAGUACGGCCGCAAGGUUAAAACUCAAAGGAAUUGACGGGGACCCGCACAAGCGGUGGAUUAUGUGGAUUAAUUCGAUGCAACGCGAAAAACCUUACCUACCCUUGACAUGUCCGAGAGCCCGCAGAGAUGUGGGUGUGCCCGAAAGGGAAUCGGAACACAGGUGCUGCAUGGCUGUCGUCAGCUCGUGUCGUGAGAUGUUGGGUUAAGUCCCGCAACGAGCGCAACCCUUGUCAUUAGUUGCUACAUUCAGUUGGGCACUCUAAUGAGACUGCCGGUGACAAACCGGAGGAAGGUGGGGAUGACGUCAGGUCCUCAUGGCCCUUAUGGGUAGGGCUUCACACGUAAUACAAUGGCGCGUANCAGAGGGUUGCCAAGGAGCGAUCUGGAGCCAAUCCCGAAAAGCGCGUCGUAGUCCGGAUUGCAGUCUGCAACUCGACUGCAUGAAGUCGGAAUCGCUAGUAAUCGCGGAUCAGCAUGUCGCGGUGAAUACGUUCCCGGGUCUUGUACACACCGCCCGUCACACCACGAAAGUGGACUGCACUAGAAGCCGGUGAGCCAACCGCCAAGGGGGCAGCCGUCCAAGGUAUGGUUCAUGAUUGGGGUGAAGUCGUAANCAAGGUACC